CCCCUUUGUUAUGUCAAGCCUAAAUAAGUUCAGGAGUAGAAAUGUGCUUAACAAGUCAUAUAAUAAGUUGCAUGUACUGUGUGUGCAAUAAUAGUGUUUAACAUGAUUUUUGAAUGACUACUUCAUCCCUGUACCCCACACAAACAAUUAUCUGUAAGACCCUCAGUCGAGCAGUGAAUUUCAAACACAGAUUCAAGCACAAAGACCAAGGAGGCUUUCCAAUGCCUCGCAAAGAAGGGCACCUAUUGGUAGAGGGGUAACAAAAUGAAGCAGACAUUGAAUAUCGCUUUGAGCAUGACACUGGGAGACAAAUCCACUUUUCAGCAGGACAGUAACCUAAAAGACAAGGCCAACUAUACACUCGAGUUACUUACCAAGAUGACAUUGAAUGUUCCUGAGUGUCCUAGUUACAGUUUUGACUUAAAUCAUCUUGAAAAUCUAUGGCAAGACUUGAAAAUGUCUGUCUAGCAAUGAUCAACAAUCAACUUGACACAGAGCUUGAAGAAUAUUUUUUUAAAUGUGCAAAUAUUGUACAAUCCAGAUUAUCAUGGCCCGCCCUUGCAUAGCGUUCCUAUUGAAGCAGGACGUGUCAGUCCUGAUGCUCAGCCUGCCUUCGAGAAUUUCACCAAUCAGGUCUGGACACUAUACCACUUGGCCAAUGAGACGGAGGAGGGCACACUGUCCACUAACACUAUCUCCCAGCCUCCGUUCAAUGGAAGUGCUUUCAUUCGCAACUUUGGGCCUGGACAUGUGUUACUGGCAGAGAGGUCCCCUUCCCCUCAGCAGUCUGACACCCAGUCCUGGUGUGGCCGACCCAGACAACAGCCCCAGCCACCACCUUUCCCGAUGUACCCAAGAAGGGCCUUCACACCCAGGUCACAGAGCACAACCCUUCGCCCUCCACCCCAGCAUCCAACUAUCCUCAACCUGGAGAUCAGCAUCCCCAACUACUUCCUGUUCCUCGAUGGCAACCAGGUGUCCCUGAGCCAGAGCGCUCGUAGUGUUCCGACUGCAAUGUUUUCCAGGUCGAGAUCUGCUGUGGUCAGGGCGGACGACCCCCAGGGGGACCUGUCCUUCUCCGUUCCAAUGGAGAUGGUAAACGGAGGUUCCAGUCGGGACGGUCAGGCCCAGUUCCUGCAGGUCAUCAGUGAUGAAGGAAAUACUGUUUACUCCCCCGCUCUCAUACGCAUUGUCACCUCUGAACCCACAGAGAAAGAGGACCAGGAAGGAUCCGGGAGGUGGCCAACUAGUGCCCCAUUUAAUUGGUAGGGGACUGUUGUCUAGUAUCAAUAAACGUGUGCAUAUCAUUUAAAACGUUCUCC
rnacentral:lncRNA from 1 species